CAGCCGCCACGGGAAUACGUAGGGUGCAAGCGUUAAUCGGAAUUACUGGGCGUAAAGCGUGCGCAGGCGGUUAUAUAAGACAGAUGUGAAAUCCCCGGGCUCAACCUGGGAACUGCAUUUGUGACUGUAUAGCUAGAGUACGGCAGAGGGGGAUGGAAUUCCGCGUGUAGCAGUGAAAUGCGUAGAUAUGCGGAGGAACACCGAUGGCGAAGGCAAUCCCCUGGGCCUGUACUGACGCUCAUGCACGAAAGCGUGGGGAGCAAACAGGAUUAGAUACCCCGGUAGUCCCUGUCUUUAUACA
rnacentral:rRNA from 1 species